CUGCUCAAUGAAUAAUUUUAAAUAGCUGCAGUAUAAAUAACUGUACAAAGGUAGCAUAAUAAUUUGUUUUUUAAUUGAAAACUAGAAUGAAUGAUUAAAUGAAAUAUAAACUAUAUCAAAUUUAAAAAAUAAAUUUAUUAUUUAAAUAAAAAAAUUUAAAUAAUUUUUAAAGACGAGAAGACCCUAAAGAAUUUUAAUAAUAAAUUAUAAUAUAAAUUUAUAAUUUAUUAUAUUAAUUGGGGAAAUUUUAAAAUUUAAAAAAUUUUUAAUUAAAUAAACAUAUAUUUUUGAAUAUUUAAAAUUUUUUAAAAAAUUAAAUUAAAUUACCUUAGGGAUAACAGCAUAAUUUUUUUAAAAAG
rnacentral:rRNA from 1 species